GAUGAACGCUAGCGGGAGGCUUAAUACAUGCAAGUCGAGGGGCAGCAUAGGACUUCGGUCCUGAUGGCGACCGGCGCACGGGUGAGUAACGCGUACACAAUCUACCUUUAACUGAGGAAUAGCCCUGGGAAACUGGGAUUAAUGCCUCAUAGUUUUUCUGAUUCGCAUGAAUUAGGGAAUAAAGCUACGGCGGUUAGAGAUGAGUGUGCGUACUAUUAGCUAGUUGGUAAGGUAACGGCUUACCAAGGCUACGAUAGUUAGGGGGCGUGAGAGCGUGAUCCCCCACACGGGUACUGAGACACGGACCCGACUCCUACGGGAGGCAGCAGUAAGGAAUAUUGGACAAUGGAGGCAACUCUGAUCCAGCCAUCCCGCGUGCAGGAUGACGGCCCUCUGGGUUGUAAACUGCUUUUAUACAAGAAGAACCGUACCUAUUUAUAGGUGCCUGACGGUAUUGUAAGAAUAAGCACCGGCUAAUUCCG
rnacentral:rRNA from 1 species